rnacentral:lncRNA from 1 species
UUUCGAAAAAGGAGCUAGCCGAUAGUUACGUUGGAGUUGGACUCCGAGUUCAAACAAAGCAUUUUCAUAACCCAAUUUUUUUCUUCAAACACAAAUCAAAGGGAGAAAAAAGAAUGGAAGUGGAGGGUUCAUCGAAGAAGAUGAUAGCAACACAAGCAGAGAUGGUGGAGAACAAGGUCCCCAUCCCGUACAGGGAUCAAUGUGCACAUCUUCUCAUCCCGCUCAACAAGUGCCGCCAAGCCGAGUUUUACUUACCUUGGAAAUGCGAGAUUGAACGCCACUCCUAUGAAAAGUGCGAGUACGAGCUCGUCAUGGAGAGGAUGCUGCAGAUGCAGAAGAUCCGUGAAGAAGAGGCCAAGUUGAAACAGGCUGGGAAACAGGGCGUUUCUGUUCCUCUCAUUCCCAAAACUGCUAAUGCUUAAGCUGCCUCCAGGGUCAGUCAAAUUUUCUUUUCUUUCUUUCUUUUUGUUUCAGUUUCUUUUAUAUAUAAUUUAAUAACUGGAUAUUUAUCUAUUGAUGUUUUCGUUCAUAGUUUGUUGAUGGGUUCAUUGAUCUUUGUAUUGAGGGUUGUUUAAGUUCCAAAAUUUUGGGGUAUUUAGCUAGGUUAAAUUUUUGUUUUUUUCUUUCUUAGUUGGCAUGGUGGAUUGGUUUAACUUUUUUAGGGCUUUGUUUUAAUCAAGGUUAGCUGCUAUAUGUUCGACAGAAUUUUCCUGUCUGCUCUUAUUAUUGAAAUUGAAGCGUUUAACCCUUUCUUUCCCUCUGUUGGAUAUAAGAUUAAAGGAUUUGAGACUCUGUUUCUCUAUUGUCAAUACUUCUGAUGUUUUUACUGGUUUCCUGUUUUCUAUUAAGGGACUUAUUUUCAUUUGGUCUAUUUAUAGUAGGGUGUAGUGAUUUGGGGGUUUAUUUGUUUGGUUCUUGUGGCAUUUGAUUGGAAAGAAAAGGUAAACUGGAUGUGUCCGUAUCAAUCAGUUUCUGCUUUGGGGUCUUUUUGUCCAUGGAAUUUUGUAUGAUUUAGAAUUUCAUUUUGAAGAUUUUGAAAUUGGUAUUAGGUUGUUCUUGCCUAAUGACUCGAAAUAUGGUGGGGGGAUUCUCGUAGUGAGAUUGAGAACAACAUGCAUUCUGGAUAAGCCCCGUAGAUGGGUUUGAGUAAGACUAUUAACAAUCAAGUUUUUUUUGGUCCUUGGUUAUUGAGAUUGCGUAUUAUGCUUUAAGAGUAAAUCGGUAUAUUCUUGAUACUUUUUUCAGUUACCCGUAUGUUCCUGUUUAGUAGGUGUAGCCAAUGGAAAUUUUUUUAUUAUGGUCAGUAUAAGAUAGUCUGAUAGCAAUGUAAAGAAGAAAUAGGAGUUUGACAACAAAGCACUGAAUUCAUACAUGCAGAUGCAUAAAAGUGGAAUAUCCCAGUUAUUUACCAAACAUGAGUUCUGAUUUACCAUUAUUUAGUUUGAUUGUUCUUGCUUGUUCCCCUCAAGUGGUGCUGGUAUCCUAGGAGAUCUGGGCUAGUGAAUAUAAUAAUGUUGCUGUUUUAAAUCCAAGAUAUAGCCUUAUGUUUAGAGCAUGAAAGGAACAUAAUAAAGAGUAAAGAACUUGUAUGCAGCUACCUGUUUGAUGAUGCAUUGUGCUGACAAUAAUCUCUAUGUUGAUGGAAAUGUUUGGUCAAUGUUUAAGAGUACUUUAUAAGUUUAGGGAAUGUAUCAAUUUCUUGACAAUAAUAUUAUAGUAGCAAAAGUCUUGCAGUGAUUACAAGUAUUGGUUGACAUCAGGUUCAGGGUUCAAACCCUAGAUAGCCCCUUCCCCUUCCACUCUUAACAAUUGGCCAAAAGAAAAACUUAAUUGAAGGAACAAAUAUGAUAUUUGCAAAUUCUGAAAGCAGAAGAAUGUCAUACUCACAACAAUGCCUGGAUUAGAAGCUGAAAUUAGGCACUAGUUAUACUCGUUUCGUUUUUUCACUUGCCUUAGUAUAGUACUCUUAAGUCCUAAGUACAAACUUUACUGAUGUUACUGCAAAAGUCUAUUUCAGCAGCUUUUAGGUACAUUUCCGGUCAUUUAACCGUAUUCACCACUCUUAAUAUCCAUUAGACUGGUAGAUAUUCUCUUCUAAGGAAAAAAGUAAGUCUAGCGUGCAAUAUGUUUCCAUGGACAACAAAAUGAAUGAUCCAAAUUUAAGAACUAUUGACUUUCCCUAGUCCAGAAGAUUCUUUACAUAUAGAAGAAUAAAAAAAGAUGGGUACAAUGCAAUUUUGUUAUGUUCAGUCUCGAAAUAAUUUAGUUGCUAAUAAUACAUUCCAACGGAUAUUGUUUUUCGAUUUUCAGAUUAAUAUUUUAUUGGGCUUUAGUUUUUGUAAUAUUGCUGUUAAAGCUUUAAUGAUUUUCUUUUUCAUUUGCCAUGAGUUCUGCUUAUAAUACCUUGUUUAAAUACAUGGCAGGAAGGUUUAGACAGCUUGGUGGAUAUUUGAUGUUUGUCACCUGUCUGGGAGAAAUUUGAAACUGUUUGUUGUGGACGAAUGUAAGGACUAUUUCAUUUGUGAUCUGUCAUCAGCUCAUCAACUUUGUUUAUGGAAUAAAGUUGCUCAUCAAAGUGGACAUGUUCUUUUUCAGAUAUAUUUGUAACAAUGGUUUUCACUUACCCAACUAGGUAAAUAUGCUUCAGGUUGGUGUUUAUUUAAUUGCAACAGAUAUACGAUGGAUAUGCUAUUUGAUCAAUGGGGGCAAACAGAUCAUGGCUUUAGCUAACAAGUUUAUAGUUCAAUCACUUCACCAUGUAAUACAUCAAAAACAAAAAGAAAAAUACACGAUUUCACCGAGUCGAUGGGGGCAUUGAUACAUGUAUAGUGUCUAGAAACCCAAUAAUUCAUUGAUCAUUCAAAUUCAUUAGACAUUGGGGAAUUCUAUGUGCUUGACAAAGUUAAAGAGCUCGUUUCUAUAAGAAUUUUCAAGCUAAGUCAAGGCCUAUUUCUGUAAGAAUUUACGGGUUCGAGCCUAACUCGAUUACUUUUACUCUUUCCAAAAAAGGCAUAUAGUUAAGGUUUUUUUAAUGCACCUCGGUUCUUAAAGUUAUGAAAUAUUUUUAUUUCAGUCCCAGCUAAUCAUAUACUAUCGGAUGUCAAAGUGAUGUCAUUAUUCGAAAAACUAUAAAUAAUUUUUAAAAAUUGGAAAAAAAAAUUAAAAAGUUAGAAAAAAAACUAGUAAUACUAUUAAAAGUUAAAAAAUAAAAAAAUAUAUAAUAUAAAAAAUUUACUAAAUAUUUUAAAAUAUAUAUAUUAGAAAUUUUAAUAUCUUCAAAAUUUUCUAAAUCGCAUUACUAAAUCUUGAAUACGAAAUUGUUAGCUUUUAGAAGUUAGAAGGAUACCAUCUACAAUUACUUUUAUUCAAUCAAUAGAAAUUUAUAAUUGGUAGAUCUUUUUAGCUUAUAAAUUUGGAUAAUUUUUUUCAGUUUAUUUAAAUAAUAAAAAUAAUUUUAUUUCAGUUAAAUAAUAAUUAAAAAAAUAUUUUUAAUUAUUCCAGAUAUUUUUUACUAUCUCAAGACAAAUAAUUUGUUUGUAGACCAAUAUCUUAAGAACUAUGGUCGAGUCAGGGGCAAAGCCAAAAAAAUUUUUUAGGGGGUGCCGAAAUUAAAUUGUAAUUUUUACAAUAGUAAAAAUACAAUUUUUAAAAGAAUAAAUCAAAAUUUUAUCAUUGUUAGGGGGAUAAAAUACAAUUUUACCUUUACUAAUUUAAAAUUUUAAAAAUUUUAAAGGGUAUAAAUGAAAAAAAUUCUAUUUUAGGGGGGUUGGGCCCUACCAGCCCCACUGGAUUUGCCCUUGGGUCGAGUGUUUAACCAUUCUAAAACACUUUGAUACAAAAUAAAAGGAACAUGUGCAUGAUGAUGGGUGAUGGAUGGAAGCUUACUCAGACAUUAAAUAGGUAGUCAAGUCAAACAAACAUAUUGCUAGUAACAUUGGUAUAGUACUAAAAUUUGAUAUACUUUAAAAUAUUAAAAUUUAUUCAAAUUUUAUUAAAAUACUUUUAAAACAACUUUUUUUAUUAUAAAAAUUGAUUUUAUUAGGACAGACAAUUUUUAUAUGAAAUAGUUAAUAUUUUCAAUGUAAUUACAGAAUGUAUACUUUAUUCCAAGUUGCAACAAUUUUUACUAUUUAAAAAAAAUUACAAUCUUUUACAAUUUCUAAUAAUUUUUAUAAUUUCUUACAAUAUUUUACAAUUUCUAUUUUUUAUAAUUUUUUAUAAUUUUUAAAAAUUCUAACAUAUUUUUAAUUUUUGAAUAUUUUUUUUUGUAAUUUUUAUAUAAUUUUUAAAUUUUUAAAAAAUUCUAACAUGUUUUUAAUUUUUAAAUAUUUUUGUAAUUUUUAUAUUUUUAAAGAUUUUUAGGGUUUUUUUCAAAUGAUGAUUCAUUGUGAGUCAACGUAUGUCACAUGGAAAUUUAUGGUUGGCUGGAUAUCUCAACCAUUUUUUAACUUCCAAAGGACUAAACUAGGAACAUUGGAUAACAUUAGGGACUGAAGUGGUGAAAGAAAAACUUUAAGGAUCAAAGUGGAAAAAAUAGUAUAUGUUACGGACUAAAGUGUAGAUUAAGCCUUUAAAAAUGAAAUUAAAAAUAAUUUUAUAUUUAUAUUUAUAUUCUUUUAUAAUUAAAUUUAAAUAAAAAUAAAUUUAAAAUUAUUUAAUUUUAAUUCGAACAAGCUAGGUUAACUUGAAGUUGAAAAUUUUUUGUCCAACCCAACCCAAAUAGGUUGAAUCAACCAAGUCAGAUGGGCCACUUGGGCCAUGAGUAAGUCUAAUUAGACGAUUCUUGAUGUCAUAAGAAUUAAGUUGGAGGUAGAAUUGAUUAUAUUUCUAAUUUUUAAAUUAAUUAAUUCAACCACUUAUUUUUUUAAAAAAUAUUAAUAAUAAUUAAAAAUAUUUUUUAAAAAAAUCAAAGAUAAAAAUGAAUCAAACAUGAUAAGAAAAAAUUCAAAAUUUUUUGUUAAAGAAAUAAAAGUUUUAAAAUCUGAUUUCCUAAAUUUUUAACUGAUUGUUUCGAUCUUUAAAUUGUCAAUAUGAAGUUAUUCUAAUUUAUUUUAAAUAUAUAUUAUCAGAUAAAUCUCUAAUUUUUAAUUCAAUUAGUAGAUUCGAGUCAUUCCUAUCUAAACAAUUAUUGAGUUGAUUUUUCAACUUGGACCUCAUCAAUUUUAUUAGUUUCAAUAUUGUUGUUCACCCAUAUUAUGCUGACUACUAUGGGGCAUAUGUCCUUUAAGAUAUAUUGUCGGAUACUUAAGUCAUUUACUCAUUAAUCACUAGGUAAUAGCCUGUACACUAGAGGCUCUUGAAGGAAUUUAGGUUUCGAGAUAUUGCUUUGGGCUUUUGCUUCCUACCAUCAUAAGUUAAACUUGAAAAUAUUAAAUGUGAUAUGAAUAAGAUACAGAUAAUAUGAAAAAAUAUUAAUAUUUAUAUUACACAUAUUAUUAAUUAUCUUAAACUUAUAUAAACAACAAAUAUUUCAAACAUAUUUUUUUGCCAACAAAUAUUUCAGACAUGAUUGUAUUAUGAAACUAACAUAAUGUGACGAGUCUAACGUAGGAUUUAAAUUUUUAAAUAAAGUAUAAUAGUUAGAUUUUUGUUGUUGUAAGAAAAUUAGAAAAAUCAAUAUAUCAAAUAAGUUAGUAACUAUUAUCCUUGAAAAGUCUUGCAUCCAAAAAGACCAACAAUGCUCCGAAGGUUGCAUGGAAAGUAUAAGCUUGGUUCCUUCCCUCUUGUUAACUUGUGUAUGAAAUCGACAACUCUAUUUGGUUCUCGGAAUGUAUGUUAGAAAACCACAGUCCAUUCUCUUCCACACAGCUCAUCUAUUUGCUUUAUAAUGCCCACAUUGCUUCCCUCUAUGUCCUCAUUCAACCACUACACUAUACUGACACUAUCACUUUUGACAAUGAAAUGCUUAAACCCAAUAAGCCAAGCAAAAUGGAAGCCAUCAAUAAUUGCCCAUAGUUCCACCAUUUCCACGGAGCAUGACCCCAAACUUCUAUUAUAUAAAAAAACCCACAUCCCUUUAUCGUCCCUUAUAACUUUUCCUGCUAAAGCUUGCCUGUUGGCCAAAUUCCAAUACCCAUCUAUGCUAAUUUUAGUGUUGGAUUUAGUGCCAUUAGUGUAGUUUUUCGUCUAUAUGUACUUGUAUUUUUCAAACAAAUUAGUUUAUAAAAUAUCCAUCAGUUACAUUAAUAUUCUUUGUAUAUUGUCCUAAAUAGUUUUUCACGCAAAGCAAAUAUUGACUCAAUGAUCAUCUAACAUUUAACUAAUACUAAAUAGUAUUACGUGGUUGGAUCAUAAUACGAAAAGACAACUUAUAUAAUAGAUAAUCUAAACAUGUCCUUAGUCUAAUUGAAAAUGAGCACCUCUAUCAGAUCAAAUUGGGGAGAUAUCAUGUCUUAGGUAUUAGAGUGAAUGACUCCUAAAAGAUAAAGACAUAGAUGUGACUGACUGAACUAACAAUACAUCGAAUAGGACCCAAGUAGAAUAGAUCCUAAAUUUGUUUAUGAUUUUAUUCACUUGUGACAUUUAUAGUGUACAUACAUCAAUCUUGAGAGGAUGAUGGAAUAUUAUACAUGACUCGUAUACUUUGAUGUAAAUGAAAGCCUGAGUUCAAAUAGAAAAGGAACUGAAAGUUGGUACAUUGGGUAUACAACUUUUGCAGUUCGUAACAUCAUUCAAAAUAGUGGAAUUCAUAACUCAACUAAAGGGUAAAUGAUAUCCUCUUAUUGGCAUUACAUGAUAGAUGAAAACUGAAACAUAGUCAUGAGUCAUUUUUCUUUGUGAUAAAUGAUUUAAUUAUUAUUUGAUAGUAAUUGACUUUUCAUGAAGAAAGAUGUAAUGGUUAACAUGAGAUAAAAUAGGAUCAUAUUGGAAGAACAAAUUUAUCCCAAAGAGAUUAAAUAUAUCCUAUGAGGGUAAAACACUUAUGACAAGGUCAUUGGACAAACACUUAUUGAGUAGCUUUCGUAAUGGUAUAUAAUAAAGGAGAGCUCGGUCACGAUACUUUAGUGGAAUGACUUUGUGAUGCAUGCACAAACGGGGUGAAAUUUGUUAAAUUCCAUUCACCGAAGCUGCCAAUUUUCAAGUUAGGAAAAUCAAUCGACUUGCAAUGACUUUUUGGAUGGGAUCCAGACAUUUCUAGGCUGUAAUGUCUUCAUAGAGUUCGAAGAUAUAUCUCUUAGAUUUAAAAAUAACUUUGAAUCAUUUGAUUUCGAGUUCACGAGUUCAAGUUAUGACCAUUUUAGUGAGACUGCGUAAAUAGAAUUUUUGAUUAUUAUGAAAAUUGCAAGUUUUGGGAUUUUAAUUUAGGUUUAUAUAAUAUUUUGUUUGAUUUUUGGCUUAAUUUUUAUUAUAUAUGAGCUUAAUAUUGUAUUUAUUAGGUUUUAUCAUUUCAUUAUUUAUUUAUUAUGAAAUUUGGAUAUAUUGUUUUAAGUAUUUUAAGUUAUUUAGGGAUUUUAUGUUUCUUAGUCAAUAAGAAAGUUAUUUAGGGAUAUAUUAUUUCAUUAUUUAUUACCAAGUUUUCUUUCUUGGAGGAGAAAUUAGAGUCGUUUGGAGGGAGUUAUGGAUUCAUCUGGUUUCCAAGGCUCUUUUCCAGCAUGUAGAAGUCGUAAGGAGCCUUGGAAACCAGAUGAAUCCAUAAGCCCCUUCAAACAACUCUAAUUUUUCCUCCAAGAAAGAAAACUUGGCAAGAAAAAGCUUGAAGAUAAUCCCCACAAUCUGGAAAGAUUGUUAAAACUCUUCUAAAAGAAAACUCAAAAAGAAUUUUAUUAACUCAAAAAGAAAAGUUGUUGAAUGAAUUAUGAAAUAUGUACAAUGAUGGAGCCUUUAUAUUGGCUAACUAAGUACAUCCAAAUAAAACUCUCAAGUAUACUGGAACUCUAAUUAAUCUAAAUAAAAAGUAGUUUUAAACUAAACUUUCUUGUUGACUAAAAAACAUGAAACUCCUAAAUAACUUAAAAUACUUAAAAAUAUAUCCAAAAUUUGGAAUAAAUAAUGAAAUAAUACGACCUAAUAAAUACAAUAUUAGGCUCAUAUAUAAUAAAAAUUAAGCCUAAAAAUUGGACCCAAUAUGAUUGAAACUCAAAUUAAAAGCUCGAAACUCGUACUUUUCAUAAUAAUCUCGUUCAGAAAUUAUGUUCGCAUAGUAUUUACUAAAACGGUCAUAACUUGAUCUCCCAAACUCGAAAUUGAGUGAUUCAAUGUGAUUUUCGAAGCUAAGAGAUAGAUCUUUGAACACUAUGAAGACAGCUCAACUAAGAAAUGCUUGGAUUCAAUCCAAAAGUCAUCACAAGUUGGUUGAUUUUCCAAACUUGAAAAUUGAUAGCUUUAUUGAAUGGAAUCUAAUAAAUUUUAACCUAUCGGUGCAUGUAUCACUUCAUGACUAAAUAAUUUUAUAAUUAAUAAGUGAAAAGUCAGAACUUAAUUAUAAAUUAUUUUAGCCCUAAUUAUUAAUUGGUCUCUCCACUAGCUCGAGAUAACUAGAAACGAAUUACAUGUAGAACCAAUGAAUGAAAAUGAUGAAAUAGGAGAAAUAGAUCGCAUGUAUCACUAUCCGCAAUGAAUGCAUUUUCUCGCUAAGGACAAGAAAUGACUUAGAAAUUAGCUUAAUGUUUUUUAAUUAUAAUUAAAUAAUUGGAGUUCGAAGAUAAAAUUAGAUUAGUCAAGUCAUUAUGAAUUUAUUGAAUAAGGAAAUUAAAUAUAUUUUCUUUAUAGAUUCUAUUACGUUAAAGUUAUUAUGAUUUUAACGGAAUUAUAAUUGAGCUGAGAAAAUUAUUUAAUUGAGAAAUUAAUUUAGUUAAUGUAAUUAGUUAAAUUAAUUGGUCAAAUAAUAUUUUUUUUGGAUAAUAGAAAAUAAAUAUUGGGUUGGAUAAAUUAUAAGUAUUGGAUUAAAAGUCCAUAAAACACAUAUAAUUGGACUAAAUACAUGAUAGGCCCAAAGUGGAGCUUUGUAUGAGAUACAAUGGGUAGCAACCUUGGUAUUUCUAGGUUGUCAUCACCCCCUACUUCAUUUAGAGUAGAAUUGUAUUUUCUAUUAAAAUAAAAUUAUUUAUUUAGAACUUAUUCAAGCAGAACUCUUAUACAUUUCUUAUAAAUAGAGACCACCGGUUGACCUAAAUACACAUUUGAUAGAUGUCGUUAUUUUACCAGAAAGUAGUGGUAAUUUAUUUACAAAUAAUGAAAUCAAUUUUCUGGGAAUAUCGAAUAAUUAUCGGUUUAAUAAGAGAAUUUACUUUCCCAUAAAAAGUAAAUAAAUUGUUUUCAUUCUGUGACUUGGUUUGUGUUGCUUGAGCCUACACACGAGGCAAUUUGUGGUUCGAGGAUAGCGGAGAAGGUUGUUCGGUUGAAAUAAGGAUAAACUUUAGUCCCCCUUACACAAAGUACAUCUACAUCUACAUCUCAGUUAUGGUUUAUUGUUAUAAAUAACAUAACAGACUCGGUUUAAGAAAAAUUGUAAACUUGCGUUAUAGCUAAAAUAAUUGUUUUCUUAACUGAAUUUUCCAACUUUUGAUCGAUCCAAGGUUUGGUUUCAUCCACUUGUUAUCUUCCUUGUUUCAAUUAAAGGGUCCUUUGCCUCUACUAUUGGUAGCAUUGAAACAAAUAGUCUAGCUUCAAUAAUACAACAAGCUGAAACACUCAUACAUUGCCUUGUUGGAAAAUAUAGUUGUUCUAUUGCUCCCAUAAUUUCUGGCAACGAAUAGCAAAAAAAAAUUCCCAAUAAAACUUAUAAAAAACAAAAGAGAUAAAGAAUUUUACAGGUUUGAGCAAAUCCAAUCAUUCAGAGACAAUGAAAAGAACCUAUCAUGUUCAGAAUUAGGGAUUACUUGGGUCUGGACAGAUCUCGUUAUAUUGCAGUCCUUAAGAACAUGGAUGAUAUCCUUAAUUGGUACACCAUACAUCGAGCAACUAUCUGACCUAGCUAGUCCCCUCCGACAUCUUUCGACAUUAGUUAUAAUUCUAUUAUGAAAAGCUAGCGAUAGGAAUUGCUUAGCUCUUUGCAAAAUAGGUGAUUUCCAAAGCAACUCCCAUUUGCUAGACUUUGGCUUCCAUAAAUGCUUAGCUUUGAAUCUAUAAGUUUAUAUAGUGGUCAACUUACCAUUAAUAGAUCUUGACUAAAUACAUUGGUCCUCUUUACCAUGUGCAUUCAACUAUUGUAUACUUGUAAUUUGCAUUAUGAGGGAAUCAUCCAACAUGCCUUUAAUUCUUAACCAAUCCCAAUCACAAUGGUUAUUGACAUUUCUCAAACCAAUAUUCAUUGCAUCGUAUUAGAGCAUAGAAAGCAAUAAAACUUUAAUGGCCCAAAAUUACGAACCUAAGAAUCCAUCCAGAAACUAACUUUCGACCCAUUCCCAAUAGACCAAAUCAAUGUUUCUCUAAGCAUAUCAUAUAUUCUCAUAAUCGAAUGCCAAAAAUACAUGGGAAGAAUUACUUCUCUUUAUAUCGAGAAGGCAUCUAACACUAAACUUAUAAUUUGAUUUAAGCACUCUAACCCAUAAAAUUGUGUUAUUAUUUACAAGCUUGAAUCCAAGCUUUAGCAAGAGUGAAUCAUUCUAAUCUUUUAAUUUCCUUAGUCCUAAAACCCUAUUUGUAGUAGAUCGACAUAAUGUAUUCCAUGCCACAAGAAGCUUUUAGAUUAUUUUCUAAUGACCUUCAAAUAAAUCUUCGAAUAACCUUUUCAAUCUCUUCACAUUUGCCCUUCAUAACCUUGGUUGUUUGCAGAAAAUAGUUAGGAAUAAAGAGUAACACUAAUUUAGCUAAAGUAACUUUACCCGCUAAAGAUAAGAGAUGAGCAUUCUGACCAUUGAGCUUUUGACAAACUUUAUCCAGCACAAAGGAAAAAAAAAACCUCUUCAUAAAUCUUUGAUGGAAAAGUGGCACUCUCAAAUACUUGCCAAGAUCCUUCACCUAUUGAAAACUCAAUCUAGCACUUAAAGAAAUGACAACUUCUUCAAAAUUAUUAUUAGAGAAGAAGCUCACUUUUAUGACCUGAUUUGAUGUAGAAUUGGUUUAAAAUUUUGUGCAUGAGUGAAGCAUGAUCCAAAUCCUUUAUACCCAAAAGCACUAAGUUGUUAGCAAAAUAUAAAUGGGACAAAGGAGGCUCAUUCAUCACAAGUCUAAUUGGUUUCCAUGACACACCCUCUAUAAUCGAACUAAUGUAAAAGCCCAAUUUCUCCAUACCAAGGACAAAUAAGUAUGGUGAGACAGAAUCACCCUGGUGUAAUCCUCUAGAAUAUAUGAAGGUUGUCAUCGAUGACCAAUUCUAAAGAACCUACAUAAACAAAGGUGAAACACAAUACAUGAUAGGACAAUGCAUUUUAACAAGAAUACCAAUGUCAAACAAACACUCAUCCAAGAAAUCCCAAUGCAUGCGGUCAUGUCUUCUCCAAAUCAACCUUAAUAGUCAUCCAAGCAAUAUUGCCUUUCUUGACUCACAUUGAAUGAACAACUUCUUCUACUAUCAUUGUUAUUAUCAGAGAUAUGCUUCCCUAAAGCUUACUUGAUUCGAAGCUAUAAGAUUAGGAAGGAAUUUGUGAAGUCUAAUUAGCAAUCACUUUUGUCAGGAUUUUGUACAGCACAUUACAUAAACUAAUGGAACAAAAAUUAAAAAUCUAUAAUAUGCAAAAAAGGAUAUAACUUACUCGUCACUCAUAAAUAGCAACUUGUUCAUCCAAGUAUGCAAACUUUAAAUUUGAUAUCAUUUAAUCCAAAACUUUAAACUUGUACAUAAGCCUCAAAUGGAAUUGACUUUCAAUCGGUGUUAACAAUAAUUUUAUUUGUGAUAUUUUUAUGUAUUUUUUUUUCAUGAAAGAAAACAAACUUGAAAUUCUAACCAUUUAUGUGUGGAGGAUUUGUUGUUCACUUUGAAAAAAUAGGAAAAUGUUUUACCAUAUCAAUCGGUUACAAGUUAAUACCAAAAUUUGUAAUGCAAUACCAAUAUCUCCAAUGAAAAUCGUUAGAUAUUUUACUAUACCAAAAUUUUCCUUUUCCUACUUGUGUGUGGGGACCAAUAACAUGUACCAAAACUUUCUAAUGUUAUACCAAUAUUCUAAUGCAUACCAAAAUUUCCAAGGGAUGUCCUUAGAUAUUUUGAUAUACCAAUUUUUAUAACGUAUACCAAAAUCUUUAACAGAUACCAAAAUUUGUAACCAAAUACCAAAAUUUCUAAUGAUACCACCAAAAUUUGUAUCGGAUACUAAUAUUUCUAAUGGAAAUCAUUAGAUAUUUUGGUAUGCCAAAAUUUUCCUUUGCCUGCCAAUGUAUGAGGACCAAUAACUUGUACCAAAAUUUCUAGCGUUAUACCAAUAUGUUGGAUCGUCGGUACACCCUUUGGUGUGGAAGAAAAAUUAUUAUAGAAAUCACAACCAAGGAUCCAUGUACGAGGAACGAACACAAGUUUAAGAAAGAUUGAAAAUAUACCUUUAAUAAUUUGGAAACAAGUAUAGUACAAAGGGGAUCCUUCUGCCUGUCUCGCAAGCCACAAUCGCAAUGUAAAGUCCUGGCCUCUAUGUGACUCACUUGGAAGAGAAUGAUAAGAAAGUUCUUUGAACUAUUUAGAGAAAAAAUGAAUUUUUUUCUUUUUGCUAGUAAAGAUAGAUUUCGGAUGAAAACAAAAACUAAGAUUAAGCAUUUUUCAAAAACAAGUUUUAAUUCCCUUGAAACUCUUAGAGGGAAAAUAGGAUAUAUCUUUUAACCCUUCAACCAAUUUUUUUUAUUAAAUACAAUAUUUAAUAAAUUCAAUUAGGCAGGCUUAUAAAAUUAAAUUAUAUGAAACACAUUUUUCAUACUAUUUUAAUUGAGUUCUAUAUAUACAUAUGCUUCAAGUAUGUACAUAUAUUAUGUUUAAUUUUAACAUUUUUAAAUUUAAUUAAUUAUUAGAACAUUUCUAUAAUCAAUUUAACUUUUGUGACAUUUUAAACAUAGUCUCAACUUUCAUUACAUUCUGAUUGUCUCAACCAAAGGGUGUGACCUAUAAGAUUCUAUAACGGUGGGAAUAACAUUGAGAAGAUUAUAAUUUUACAAAUUGUGAGUGACAUCUAGCAAUGCAUCAUUUCUACGUAAGUCACAAGAAGUCAUGGUUCAACAUGGUUUUCUAUGACAAUAUUAUUACGUGUAACGUCCCUUUGUCCUUUAUAUCUAUAUUGAACACGAGUCAUGAAAUAGUCAAACUUGUAUGGUCUAAUCUCUUAUUUCUUGAUUCCCGUGUAGACUAAGAUAAACAAAUAAGUGUGAUAUCUCAUAUAAACUAAUUUGAGCAUGGUCAUGUAUUUUUUGUCUCAUUUGAUCAAGAGGCCUAAGAUAUUUCUCUCAUUAUGUAGGAGGGACAAAUCCUAUCUUGAUCAAUCACAUCUCACUACAUAGAUUAUGGCACACCCAACAUUAGUCCUUAAAGUACAACCAUUUACGGAAGAGGUUUGAUUGUGUCAAAGCGUAUGACUCAAGAUGUUGGAAUAAUGAUGAUCUCAAGUCUUAGAAUCAUACAUAUAAUUAUCACUAUGAGAAAUAUUAUGACUAUUACAUAAUAAUCCAAGAAAUAUUCUCAUAGCAGGUCAGUCCAAUACGUUGUUCUCUAACAUGUACUUAUGCAUUAACUUUGACAUGUUGGGAAAUGUGUUUGCAUGAUAGUAAACAUGUAGUUGUUUUAUAUGUAUUUGAACAAUGAAUAAAUAAAUAAAAUUAAUUUCACAUUUCACUAUAUUUUGUGUUUGUCUUUCAUGUUUUGCAUACAUAGCGAAAUUGUGAUAAGCAAAUGUCAGCUCAUUGAUUUAUCUAAGUUCAAGCUGAUAAUAAUUGGCACUGUAAGAAGGUUUACAUUGCGAGAAAGGUAACUUACUUCAGUAGAUAAUCUAAACGAGUUCAUAAUCCCGUAAAAGAAUCAAAGUGAACAUUUGAUUCAAAUACUUAGAAGGAUUAUUAUGUCAUCUACAAUUCCAAAUAGAGAGAUGACUAAUCUUGGUUAUCGGAGUAGUUGACUCCAUGGGUUGAGAUAUUAAUGUACUCAUUGGAAGAAUGAUACAUUGGCCUGGACCCAAGUUGAAUUAGUACUGAAUCCGUUUGUGAAUUAAUUCACUUGUGAUAUUCAUAGUCUGACUUACCUAAAUCCUGAGUUAGUCAUUGACCAUUCGUAUAUAACCCAUAUGAAUUGAUAUAAGUGGAGGCUUAUGCUCUAAAGAUGAUCGAGUCGAUAGUAGUUAUGUUGGGUACAUGACUUAUGUAUGGCAUGGUUUUACUAGAAAUAAUAGAAUUCAUAGCUCGAUUAAAGAGUUAACGAUAUCCUCUCAUUGAAAUUGUGUGGAUUGAUAAAUAUGAAAUGUGGCCACGAGUUACUUCUUCUCGAACGAGUAAUUUAUCACAGUCAUUAGUUGACAGUGGUCAUAUUAAUUAUUAAGAAGACACAAUGGUGACAAUGAGAUAAAACAAGAUUGCAUUAAGUGAACAAAUUUAACUCAAGAAAUCAAGGAUAUCAUAUGAGGGUAACACACAUAUGGCGAAGUCAAUGGACAAAGCAAUUGGAUGAAUUGCUUUCAUAAAGAGUAUACAAUAAGGAGUUUUCAAUCAUGAUACUUCUUGUGAACUAACUUUAUAGUUAAGUAAAUUUCAAAUUAUCAGAUCGAUACUUCUAGACAUAAUUGCAAUUAACUUGAGCCUAAUUGUAUAUGUCCAAUUGGUCCAUUCGCUAGAGUGACAAAAGCUCGAUCAGACUGCAUUUGAAUCAAAAGAAAAUUAUACGACAUUGAGAAUAAUUUAAUUGAGUCGAUUUAUUCAAUGUGGAAUUAAAUUAGGUGGUCAUGAGAAUUAUUCAACUAGAGAAUUUGGUUAAAGAAUUUUCUUGAAAAAUUAAUUUGGAAAAUCUCAGUGAUUUUUGGGAAAAUUAAUUUUGAUCAAGUGAAAUUAAAUUAAUCAAGUUAAUUAAAAUAAAUAUGAUAUUUUUUGAAAUUAACUUUCAAGUCAGACAAUUAGCCCAAUGAGUAAUUGAACUUAAAAAUUGUACCCAAGAUCGAAAAUUGAACCCAAGAAUCAAAACUUGAGAUUGAAACCCAAAAAUUGGUCAAAUCGAGCUCCGUGUAUGAAACUGGAUCGAUGAUCUAUCCGACGGCUAGAUCGGACCGGUUGGGCUGUCACUGGCCUAGACCGAAUCGAUAGCAGCCAAAUUGGUCAAGCCCAUUUGGGAAAAACAAAAAUAGUUUUGGGUGCUGGGGGAGUCACGCCAGUGAUGGCACCGCCAAGCACGACAACUACGACAGCGACGAUCCAACAAUCGAUAGAUGGUCGGCGGUGACGAUUCUUCGAUGGUAGAGUGGUGGAAAAAUUAGACUCAUAAUAGGACUCUAUCAGGUAACUUGAUUAAAAUUUCCAAAGAUAAUAUUAUUUUAAUGAAUUUAAUAUUUAAUUUAAUUUAAUAUUUAUCUAGAUAUUAAUAUGGGAUAUUAAAUUUAAUUUAAUAUUUACCUAGAUAUUAAUAUGGGAUAUUAAAUUUAAUUUAAUAUUUAUCUAUAUAAUAUUUUAUUAAUUUAAUAUUAAUGUGAUUAAUUCUAAUCCUAGUUAAACUCUCUCUAAACUCUCCCUAUAUAAAAAGAGCAUGGGUCAUUAUUCUCAUACACUUGAAUUCAAGAAAAAUUGUAGAGAGAAAAUUCUCUAAAAAAAUGAUUUCAGAAAAUUUCUAGAGAUAUUCUUGUUAUUUAUAACUUGACCCCAUAAGUUUAGAAAAAUUACGAAAUUACUCCACUAGUAAUUUUGGGAAAUUUUUUUUAAUUUGAAGCGAGCUCACACUUGGCAAACGUGUGCUUGAGGAUACGGGGAAGACUACUCAAUUGAAACGUUCAUCCUAGACGAAUCAUAAAGGUACGAUUUUGGUAAAGUAUUUAUUAUUUUAGAUAACACAAUCAAGUUCUUGUUUUUGGAAAAAGAAUUUAAAACUCUAGUUUUCCCUUAAACCUAUUUUCCAUUGCAUUUUCCAAACUCGAUCUUCCAACAUGACAUCCCUAUGUCAAUGACAACAUUUUGUUAUCAAUCAACUACAUAUCAGUCUCAAUGUAUUAUUAUUGCUUAAGCUCGCAAUAAUACUUGACUAAGGACAUUUAAGAAUAAUCACAUUAUUCUUAGGACUAAAAUAAUAAUGGCAAUGUCUUUUAUUAAUAAACUAGGUGAACAAGUAUGUGAUUACAAUCAUCGCAUGAUUAGUCUUUGGGCAUACUCUAAUACAAUAUUGUUGGAAAAUUUGUUUAUGAGAACGAUUUUGUUGCAUAGCAAAAUUUCAAAAACUUUUAUAAAACUUGAAACUUUGUUGUGAUAUCUAUGGCCAUAUAUUUUACCAAACAUAAUACCUACUUUAUUGGACUAGCAAAAUUUGUUGGUUCUUGGCUUUCAAGCAAAUGAUUUUCUCAGCCAUCUUCAAACCCUUAGUUACUAAGGAGUGGGUUAUUAUCACAAACCGAUCAUAGAAGAAAAACUAAAACUUUCUAGUGGAGAAAAUUCACUUUUUCUAUGGGAAAUCAAACUGAAAUUAAUGACUCGAGUACUCAUGAAAUAUAGAAUUCAUUUUGUAGCUAAAUAAAUUUUCCUAAAUUUCGACCUCAUCUUAUAAGUGUGUGUCUUCAGUUACCCCAUAGUCACUUUAUAUAGAGAAAAAUAUGAGUUCUACUUGAACAAGAAGAGAAGAAAAGUAAUAUUUUAAUAGAAAACCAAAAUCCUACUAGGAGUUAUAGGAGUUAAUGCACUAGACAACACAUACUAGGUUUCCCAAACCUAGUGUGCUUCCCACCCCUAGUGUUAUUGGGCUCAUUUAACCAUUCAUGUAUUUAGUAAAAUUAUAUGUGUAGGUCCAUUUUAAUUAAAACAAGCUCAAUUAAUUAUCCAACCCAAUAACUAGUUUUCUAUUCCUAAAAUAUUAUUUAUUCAACUAAUUAAUUCAAUAAAAUAAUAUUUUGGGAAUAGAAAUUGAUUAUUGGGUUGGAUAACUAUAUGAGCUUGUUUUAUUAAAAACUAGAUUGUAAAUAUAAUUAUACCCAAUACAAUAAAAUGCCCAAAAAGCUCAUCUUACUAAACGGGUGGGCGGCACAUUGAGUAAUCCUAGUAAGGGUGUGUUGCCUACCACAAGCACUCUUAGUAGGAGUAUGAGUUUUCUAUUAAAAUAUUAUUUAUCCCUCUUCUUGUUCAAGUAGAGCUCUUGUAUUUUUUUCUCUAUACAAAGGAAUCAUGGGAAGUCGAAAUACAAACACUCAUCGAUACGUGGUUAUUUUAUUAUUUUAUUAAAAUUUAGGGAAAUUUAUUAGCUACAAAUAAAUUUUAAAUUUUGUUAGCACUUGAGUUUUUCGAUUUUGGUUAUUAAGAAGAGAAUUUAUUUUUCCAUUGAAAAAAUUAAAGUUUUAGUAUUGUGAUCGAUUUAGGACUAGGAGCCCUCUCUUUACAACUAAAGGUAAGAGAAUAACGGAGAAGGUUGAUUGGUAGAAAGUUAGAAAAUCGACAGAUCGCACUAGACCAAAAUGCAUAUAUUAAAUUUGGUAAAAUUUAUUGCCAUGGAUAACACAACAAAGGUUUGGUUUUAUGAAAAUUUUUAAAAUUUUCGUUGUGAAUUUCGUAACUAAUUUUUCGAUCAAUUGGUAUCAUACCAGGUUGUGUUAUGUUGUAAAUUUAUUAUCGAAUUACCUCGUCUCUCUAUUGUUUGAUUAAAUUGAUAGAAAGUGACAUUAUUAUCUUAUGCGUGCUUUUGGAUUGUAUAUGUGAAUGGAUGUUUAUAGAUGUUAUAAAAAAUUUUAAUUAUGAAUUUUGCUAAAGUUGUGGUUUCUAAAAUUAGAUUGGGUAUAUUUUAGGUUAAAUUUUUUAUUAUGUAAUACGAUCGUAAACUAUCAUCUCCAUAUAGGGUUUUUUAUUUUUCCUUAAAAUAAAAAGUCUUGUGAGUUGGAAACAGACUAAGUCUUAUACCAAUUACAAACCAGAGACCUCGAAGUAGAUUAGACGGAAAAAUGGAUGAACAGUUGAAGAAGGAGAAGUUGGCGUUGUGGACAAUAGUCGGAGCAUCGCAAUUGUUGAGGUGAUGCGAGGGGCAUCGCGCCCCAUUGUGUGAGCUAGGCACACAGCAUCGGCCGAGGCCUCGUGCCUUAGCAGAGCAGUCUUGCGAGGCUACCGCGUGAGAGCAAGGGCAUCACACCUUAACAACAUGCAAAAGGUGCCAAGGAUGGCCGAGGCAUCGCACCCCUGUCCGGCAUCCAUGCACGUAGAAAGUUGCUCUUAAUAGUUACAUAUUUUAUCAAUUUAAUCUUAAUUCUAAAAAAAAAAUCAACAAAAUUAAUCUCUAACAUUACACGUUUACACAGAAUCUUACUUAGCUGACCGUUCGUUAUUUCCUACAUGAAUAACGAACAAAUAUCAACCACAUAAAAUGUUGAUUUGAAAUGGCUACUUAAAUAGCCAGUUUUGUUAAUCCCCCCCUUUUAUUAAAGAAGUAUAGCAUUGGGAGUCUGACACUGCACUCUCCUUUCUCAAGCAAAACUAAUCUAAAGCAGACAUCAACCUUCACUUUUUUCUCUCUAAAACUUCCUUCCUUAAACCACUACUUGUCUUAUUUUUUGAUCAAUAUUUCAUAACCUUCAUUAAAAAUCCAAUCAUACUAACCAAAAUGGAAGCAUCGGGAAAAGGCACGAGGAGCGAGGUAAUUAUGGUGCUCGAAUAUGGUCUUGUUACCUGGGUUUGGGUCUUUGGUUCAGUAUGCUAGAGAGGGGGUGAGAAUUAAGGGUAUAUUAUGUUGGAGCCAACGAUCAAUGCAAACGACAUUAAAAAUUGUAAAAUAAACAAAAAAAACUUGGAACAAUGGCGGUCACAAACCCAUAAAUUAUAACAGAAAGCGGGAAAGGGAUAUAAUUCACAUUUUGUAUUAUGCCUUGGUAAUGCAACAAGUGAAUGUAGAAAACUCGGAGGGGGUGCUCAAUACCCAAACUCUCAAAACAAAUGAAAUUGUAGCCUUUCUAAAUUUAAACACAAAAUUUGUCCAAAUUAAAAAAAUAUAUAAAUUUUGUUAUUAUAUCAAUCGAAAUUAUACAUAAUUGAUAAAAAAUAUUAAUAUUACGAUUAAUUAUCUUUAAAUGCUCAUCUACUUUUGAAAUUAAUAGAGAUUAAACUGUUCCUAAUUUAGACAUAUUAUAAAAUUAAAAAAAUUUUCAACCGAGCGAAACUCAAAUCAUAUUUUAAAUGGAAUUAGUUUUUUAGGCCCAUUUUGGGCAUCAUAGUUUUGCGCCCAACCCUUCCACCUUUGGGCGUACAAAGAAAAGCUAAGCUAGCCGAUAAUUACCUUGGAGUUGGACUCGGAGAUCAAGCAAAGCAUUUUCAUAACCCAAUUUUUUUUCUUCAAACACAAAUCAAAGGGAGAAAAAAGAAUGGAAGUGGAGGGUUCAUCGAAGAAGAUGAUAGCAACACAAGCAGAGAUGGUGGAGAACAAGGUCCCCAUCCCGUACAGGGAUCAAUGUGCACAUCUUCUCAUCCCGCUCAACAAGUGCCGCCAAGCCGAGUUUUACUUACCUUGGAAAUGCGAGAUUGAACGCCACUCCUAU